GCGAGCGUAUUUUAACGAUAGAACCGCAGCCUUCCAAGCUGUGAGUGCGGGUUUGAUUCCCGCCGCUUGCU
rnacentral:tRNA from 1 species